rnacentral:rRNA from 1 species
AUUGAACGCUGGCGGCAUGCUUUACACAUGCAAGUCGAACGGCAGCGCGGGCUUCGGCCUGGCGGCGAGUGGCGAACGGGUGAGUAAUGCAUCGGAACGUGCCCAGUAGUGGGGGAUAGCCCGGCGAAAGCCGGAUUAAUACCGCAUACGACCUGAGGGUGAAAGCGGGGGACCGAAAGGCCUCGCGCUAUUGGAUCGGCCGAUGUCGGAUUAGCUAGUUGGUGGGGUAAAGGCUUACCAAGGCGACGACCCGUAGCUGGUCUGAGAGGACGACCAGCCACAGUGGGAGUGAGAGGCGGCCCAGACUCCGAGGGGAGGCAGCAGUGGGGAAGGGUGGAAGAUGGGGGGAACCCUGAACCAGCCAUGCCGCGUGGGGGAAGAGGGGCGGCGGGUUGGAAAACGGUUUUGUGGGGGAAGAAAUCCUCUGGGAGAAUACCACGGGGGAUGACGGUACCGGAAGAAUAAGCACCGGCUAACUACGUG